rnacentral:misc_RNA from 1 species
AGUAUCCAAGGAUGUCUCUGACGCUUAUCCCUGAUCACUUCCAGCACAUUGUGCGGCUGCUCAACACGAAUGUGGAGGGCAAGCGCAAGGUGCCGUUCGCGCUGCGCAUGGUGAAGGGCGUUGGCAUCCGCUUUGCCUACCUGGUGUGCAAGAAGGCCGGGAUCGACGUGGAGCGCCGCGCGGGCACUCUGACCGCGGAGGAGCUGGAGAAGAUCGCCGAGAUCAUCGCCGAUCCCGCGAAGUUCAAGAUCCCGGACUGGUUCCUGAACCGUCAGCGCGACCCCAAGACCGGCAAGACGGAGCACCUGUCCAGCUCGAUGGUGGACACCCGCCUGCGCGAAGACCUUGAGCGUCUGAAGAAGAUUCGCGCGCACCGUGGCGUGCGUCACGCCUACGGCCUCCGCGUGCGCGGCCAGCACACGUGCACGACUGGCCGCCACGGCAAGACGGUCGGCGUCUCUCGCGGCAAGUAAAGUCAGGAUGGUGUACCGCGUUUGGCUCCUCCUCCGCUCCUUACCUGGUGCCGGACUACCGCCCAUGAGGCCGCCCGCUCCACGUUGCGUUUCUCAGCGUUAACGGCGGCUGUAACGGGAAGCAGGUCUGCGCUGACUCAACGGUUUACGGAGACAAUGCUGGGAAUGGAGUGGCUACAUUGAGGUUUGCGUUACUCGGUGCAGUCGACAGAGCAUCUUUGGUUACGUUUUUAUUGUUUUUAAUUUCGCGUCUUCUUUCAUUCGACCACCGCGACAAGACAUUGAAUAUGUGAAAGGCAGCCACACUCGUGCGCGUACACUCAGAGGAGGCCAUACCCAGAAAACCCUCUGCUUGCAGCGGCGUAUGCCAAGUUUGUGGUUGCUUCUAUGUGGCUGCCGUGGUACCAUUGCACCCUCUCGUCCUCUUCUGACUCUUGCGUUCCUUCUCUGUUGUCUCCUGUGUUGCCCAGCGGAUUAAUAGCCUGGCAUUGCGCGGGAAAAAAAUCUGCUUGGAAGUCGCAUACACUGCCGGAGGAGAGAGCGAGAGGGGUCAGGAUUGUCAG